rnacentral:rRNA from 1 species
UCCAUGCAGUCGAACGAAGUCUUCGGACUUAGUGGCGGACGGGUGAGUAACACGUGGACAACGUGCCCUUUGGUACGGAAUAACUCAGGGAAACUUGAGCUAAUACCGUAUGUGCCCUUCGGGGGAAAGAUUUAUCGCCAUUGGAGCGGCCCGCGUCUGAUUAGCUAGUUGGUGAGGUAAAGGCUCACCAAGGCGACGAUCAGUAGCUGGUCUGAGAGGAUGAUCAGCCACAUUGGGACUGAGCCAGGGCCCAAUCUUAUACGGGAGGCAGCAGUGGGGAAUCUUGCGCAAUGGGCGAAAGCCUGACGCAGCCAUGCCGCGUGAAUGAUGAAGGUCUUAGGAUUGUAAAAUUCUUUCACCGGGGACGAUAAUGACGGUACCCGGAGAAGAAGCCCCGGCUAACUUCGUGCCAGCAGCCGCGGUAAUACGAAGGGGGCUAGCGUUGCUCGGAAUUACUGGGCGUAAAGGGAGCGUAGGCGGACAUUUAAGUCAGGGGUGAAAUCCCGGGGCUCAACCUCGGAAUUGCCUUUGAUACUGGGUGUCUUGAGUAUGAGAGAGGUGUGUGGAACUCCGAGUGUAGAGGUGAAAUUCGUAGAUAUUCGGAAGAACACCAGUGGCGAAGGCGACACACUGGCUCAUUACUGACGCUGAGGCUCGAAAGCGUGGGGAGCAAACAGGAUUAGAUACCCUGGUAGUCCACGCCGUAAACGAUGAUUGCUAGUUGUCGGGAUGCAUGCAUUUCGGUGACGCAGCUAACGCAUUAAGCAAUCCGCCUGGGGAGUACGGUCGCAAGAUUAAAACUCAAAGGAAUUGACGG